rnacentral:lncRNA from 1 species
UUAAGUUCGUUAAAAGGUUUCCCCAGCUGACAUUUAAUUACAACAUCACGAAAUACUGUGUUAGGAUUACUCAUCGGCAUCGCAACUCGAAACCCGUCGAUACUAAUAGUUUUGACAAAAUCAUGCUGGGAUUUUGAUGUUAUUUCAUGCCCUAUUGGUGAGAAGGAGUUAUCACUUUCCUCAGCUUCAUUUUUCCCUGACUGAGAUUGUUCUGGAAGUUCCUCCGAAUCUAUCUGUAGUCUAGCCUUUUUUGUUGGGUUGUCAAAAGUUGAUCCACUU